AUUGAACGCUGGCGGCAUGCCUUACACAUGCAAGUCGAACGGUAACAGGUCUUCGGAUGCUGACGAGUGGCGAACGGGUGAGUAAUACAUCGGAACGUGCCCGAGAGUGGGGGAUAACGAGGCGAAAGCUUUGCUAAUACCGCAUACGAUCUCAGGAUGAAAGCAGGGGACCGCAAGGCCUUGCGCUCACGGAGCGGCCGAUGGCAGAUUAGGUAGUUGGGGGGAUAAAAGCUUACCAAGCCGACGAUCUGUAGCUGGUCUGAGAGGACGACCAGCCACACUGGGACUGAGACACGGCCCAGACUCCUACGGGAGGCAGCAGUGGGGAAUUUUGGACAAUGGGCGCAAGCCUGAUCCAGCCAUGCCGCGUGUCUGAAGAAGGCCUUCGGGUUGUAAAGGACUUUUGUCCGGGAGCAAAUGCUGGUGGCUAACAUCCACCGGAGCUGAGAGUACCGGAAGAAUAAGCACCGGCUAACUACGUGCCAGCAGCCGCAGUAA
rnacentral:rRNA from 1 species